UUUCUCGCAUCGAUGAAGAACGCAGCGAAAUGCGAUAAGUAGUGUGAAUUGCAGAAUUCAGUGAAUCAUCGAAUCUUUGAACGCACAUUGCGCCCCUUGGUAUUCCAUGGGGCAUGCCUGUUCGAGCGUCAUUUGUACCCUCAAGCUCUGCUUGGUGUUGGGUGUUUGUCCACUAUCGUGGACUCGCCUUAAAGUCAUUGGCAGCCAGUGUUUUGGUAUUGAAGCGCAGCACAUUUUGCGCCUCUAGCCUAGAACACUAGCGUCCAGUAAGCCUUUUUCCACUUUUGACCUCGGAUCAGGUAGGGAUACCCGCUGAACUUAAGCAUAUCAAUAAGCGGAGGA
rnacentral:rRNA from 2 species